rnacentral:rRNA from 1 species
GAACAUAAGAGUUUGAUCCUGGCUCAGAUUGAACGCUGGCGGCAUGCUUUACACAUGCAAGUCGGACGGCAGCAUAAAAGAGCUUGCUCUUUUGAUGGCGAGUGGCGAACGGGUGAGUAAUGCAUCGGAACGUACCGAGUAGUGGGGGAUAACUGUCCGAAAGGAUGGCUAAUACCGCAUAUUCUCUGAGGAGGAAAGCAGGGGACCUUAGGGCCUUGCGCUAUUUGAGCGGCCGAUGUCUGAUUAGCUAGUUGGUGGGGUAAGAGCCCACCAAGGCGACGAUCAGUAGCGGGUCUGAGAGGAUGAUCCGCCACACUGGGACUGAGACACGGCCCAGACUCCUACGGG